UGACGCAGAGAGAAGAAUGCUGAGGCCACGGCUGUUCCAGGCCUUCACGGCCACAGCUCGGUAGCACUGCGCGGGCACCAGCACGGAGGCCAUCUGGGCUCCAGCACCGGGUAGCUCACAGAAGACCAGUUGGGUUUCCCGUGAGUAAGAUUCUGCCCUGGGAAACCAGGCGCUGUGGCUCACACCUGUAAUCCCAGCACUUUGAGAGGCUGAGGCGGUCAGAUCCCGAGGUUGGAAGACCAGCCUGGCCAACACGGUGAAAAUCCAUCUCUACUAAAAAUACAAAAAUUAGCCUGUUGUGGUGGUGUGCUCCUGUAGUCCCAGCUACUCGGGAGGCUGAGGCAGGAGAAUCGCUUGAACCUGGGAGGCAGAGGUUGCAGUGAGCCGAGAUCAUCCACUGCACUCCAGCCUGGGCGACAGAGCAAGACUCUGUCUCAAAACAAACAAACAAACAAAUAAGAUUCUGCCCUGGGGUUGCGGGGCCACAGGGAAACACCAGCCCUUGGGAUCUUAGGGUCAGGAGGGCGUGGCCCAGGGCUGCACUGCGUGGGGGGAUCUCUUUCCAGACCCCUGGCAGCGCAUCCGCCCAGGGGCGCCCCACAGACCCUCGCUUUUUUUUUUUUUUCUAUUCCUGGCUCGUUUCAUUUGCUUUCAGAUCAACUGCUUCAUUAAAAAACAUCCGCCUAAACUCUGCAGACAGAGGAAGGAUCCGUGCUUGCCAAGGGCUGGGGGAGGAGGAGCAGGCAGAGCACAGAGGGUUUCAGGCCAGCGCCGCUCCGCGUGACGCCAUCACGCCCCUGUGCCCCUGCGAUGCCACCAUCCUGCCACGGGUGAAGCCUCAUCUCCGCCUGUGUGCCUGGAGUGUCCUCACUGGGAAGUGGGCACUGCAGGGCCAUGUUGCUUGUGGAGAAGGUGUGGGUGCUGACAUUUUGUGAGAGCUGGGACCCAGCCAGGUGCCCCACGCACAGACCAGGCACAGAUCCCCAGGUCACUGAAGAGACAAUCCCACGGCAGGCAGAACCAGGGUGUGGCCCCCAGGAUUGUGUCCCCAAAUGAUCUGUUGAAGCCCUCACCCCACAUCCGUGAAUUCGACCUUCUCUGGAAGUGGAGUCACUGCGGAGUUGGAAUGAGAUCACACUGGAGGGGGGGCCCAAUCCAGCGCACUAGUGCCUGGCAAGCAGAGGAAAGACUCGGCAAUGCGCACAGAGGGAAGCUGGCGUGAAGGCACAGGAAAGAAGGCCCCAGAGAAAAGGUGGAGGCAGAGGCUGGAGCGAUUCCCUGCGAGCCAGGGGUGCCAAGGGCUGCCAGCAGCAGAAAAGCCAGAAGAGGCAAGGAACAGAUUCCUCUCUGCUUCUAGGGCGCUCAGCUCGACACGCUGCACCUUGAUUGCAGACAUCUGGCCUCUAGCCGGAGCCGGGACACGUUUCUGCUGUUGUCAGUGACCCUGUGCGUGGCCAUCUGCUGCAGCAGCCGUGGGAAACUUGUACCAAUCUCAGGGCCAGGAACACAGCUGGGCACGGCUCUCCCUGGCUCCCUCGGUCACCGUCUCUGUCACAAACGGAAGGUGGAACAGCCUGGGAGUCCCUUGCUGCCCUCCAGGGCUGUGUCUGAGUGCUGAGCCAGCCCCAGGAAGCCACACAAAGGGGUGUCUCCACCCCGAACUGGAGCAGGAGGGU
rnacentral:lncRNA from 13 species